rnacentral:rRNA from 1 species
GGACUACUGGGGUUUCUAAUCCUGUUUGCUCCCCACGCUUUCGCGUCUCAGCGUCAGCAACGAUCCAGAGGGCCGCCUUCGCCGCCGGUGUUCCUCCUGAUAUCUACGCAUUUCACCGCUACACCAGGAAUUCCACCCUCCUCUAUCGCGCUCCAGCCAGCUAGUUUCCGCCGCCCUUCCGGGGGUAAGCCCCGGGCUUUCACAGCAGACUUGGCUGACCGCCUACACGCCCUUUACGCCCAGUCAAUCCGAACAACGCUCGCACCCUCCGUCUUACCGCGGCGGCUGGCAC